rnacentral:rRNA from 1 species
CCUACGGGAGGCAGCAGUGGGGAAUAUUGCACAAUGGGGGAAACCCUGAUGCAGCGACGCCGCGCGAGUGAAGAAGUAUUUCUGUACGUAAAGCUCUAUCAGCAGGGAAGAAAAAAAGUCCUUUGGACUUUGGACUGUACCUGACCAAGCAGCCCCGGCUAACUACGUUCCGGCAGCCGCGGUAAUACGUAGGGGUCAAGCGUUAUCCGGAUUUACUUGGUGGAAAGGGAGGGUAGAC